UGACCAUCUAGAGCGGUCGAGGGACCUGGCCCUGUGACGCCGCAGCAACCAUCGCCACAGUGUUCACUCAUGUAGCGUUCACUGCUGCAGCGAAUGGUGCUCAUGCCGGGAUCGAUGGAGU
rnacentral:ncRNA from 2 species